AGUUGUCACGGUUGCUUAGAGAUGGACACUAAGCCCCUUUUGCGCUGCACCGCUGGAGCAAAGAUACAGACGUGAGAGAGAAGACGCACAUCCCAGGCUGAACAGUGUCAGAGAGGAUUAAUGCAAGCAAUUUUUAAAAAAUGUGUUUAUUGUUGAGCAGUGAGCUGCUGUAUGAUUUCAGACAGGAUCAGGAGAGGAACACUGCCGACCCAUUAGAACCUAAAGAACCAGACAUCAGCUUCUGUUCAUUCCUCAAUCAUUUCCUGAAGUUUAGAAUGCCUCAGGAGAUGCUAUGAUUGAUUCAGUUUCUUAUUGUGCUUUUAGCAAACUAUAGUGGAUUGAGUACUUGCUUAAGAUGUUAAUUUUAAAUUAAACUUGAUUGAAUAAUAGUAUGAGCCAAGAUAAUAUAAGUGGCCAUUUAAAGAACAAAUCAUACUAAUACAAUAACAGUAAAUAUUUCCCAAUUAAAAAUUGUUAGGGCUUUCUUUGUGUUUUAUUCAGAAAAGUUGAUAUAUUUUAGGAAUAAUUGUUCAGUGGUCAUUUAAUGUAUUAUUUUAUUAAUGUUAUUUACCAGUUGGGAUAACCUGACUUCCUAUCCAAGAAGAAAUAACAUGGCAACUAAAAAUGCACCAGACACAGACCUGCAGCCCAAUGGCAGCUCUAAGGGGUGGCUAAGAGGGGCACUGAAGAAAUUAUACUAAAUGUCUUUUUAUUCUUUAAAACUUAUGGUGCUGCAGUUUUAGCUGCUCUAGUGAGAUAGAAUGACACUUUCCAUCUGCUAGAUCAGGGAUCUGCAACCUGUAGUUCUGGACUACUCACUUAAUAUAUCUGUUUUUUGUUUCAUCCUUUUGUAAAUAACCCCAUGAAAAAACAUUGACUAUUGGCCCCCGUGGUAAAUUUGAUCUGGAACCAGCCUUCACAUACAUAUUUGCACAUAACUUUAUUUGUUGCUGUUUGAGAAAUUUCAAACAUUAAAUAAGGUGUUAUGAUCAGUUACUCAGUACUUGAGUAGACUUUUUAUCAAAUACUUUCUAUCACUCCACCAGCCAUCCCACCAUAUGAAAGAAAGGUGACACAGGCUGUAGCAUGCAUCCUUCUUUUAAUUUCUGAAAGGUGGCAACCCCACAGCACUGUUUUCCUGAGUAAAUUUCUUUUUAAGUGAUCCUUUUUCAACUGCUACUUUGUCUUUUAUAUAUUUUGUGACUACAGGGUAGUCAGGAUGCUAUGGUUGAAUCUGCAAGGCACUUACUUAAUUUACUAACUGAAAGACCACGAAGUGGAGGAAGAAGAGACCUCACCAACCAGAACGCCAGUUGUAGGGUACCUCAAACUGAACCAUCUGUCCAAAUGGAAAUGAGCAGAUCUUUUCCUGGACUUUACAACAGGGGAAGAGGAAGAAAACGACGAUUUCCUCCAACAAGCCGAAAAAGAUGAAACCUUUAGAUGUACUUUUUUAUUUACUGCCAAAACAUUACGAAAAAACGGCAAAAGAAGAUGAUCAACGGAUACACAUGAGAGCGGGAUUGGGCCGGAAAACAGCUCACAUUGAUGAGAGCAUAACGCAUAACGAGAACAUUGGUUGGGACCGCUGCUUCUCAGAGUUCAUGUUGCCUACUAAACUUAGGUGGUACUUCAGCAUAUCACUUGGCCAGAAACUGAUGACGGAAGUGAUGAAGAUGACGACUGCUCAAAGGAAACCAAUUGCUGCAUUUCAGGAUAUCUGAAACAGUUCAUUGCAAAUGCCACACCACCUGAACUGAAAGACAUGAUGAAAUUCUGGACCGGAUGGGAAAAUCUGCCGGCAAGUCUGUCUGUGGAGAUCGUUCACGGAAACUACCCAACAGCUGCCACAUGCUACGAAAUGUUAAGAAUUCCUUCUCACUACAGAAAUUACAAAUCUUUCAAUGAUGACUUUUUAGCAUGCAUUUCCUGUACGCAGCUUUGGCUUGCUUUGAAUGAUCAACCUGUUCAAAAAUAAAAAAUCUACAUUUAA